UACCUACUCCUAAUAGUCUACUACUUAUCAGCAUAACACAUACUAUAAUGUCUUCUUCAUGUUACAGAUACGUAGUUUAGUUACUUGUAUAUAUACAAGUGGUCACAGCUAAAAUAGAACAGAGAGAGAAAAAAACUUUUAAAAUAUGGCUACGGAACAACAAAAAAAGGAUUUGAACGAGAGGGCUAAGCAAGGAGAGACUGUGGUUCCCGGAGGAACUAGAGGUAAAAACGCUGAGUCCCAGCAACAUCUUGCCCAAGGAAGGAAGCAAGGAGGUGAGGCAAGGAAGGAUCAGGUGGGUAGUAAAGGACAUAAGGAGAUGGGAGGAGAGGGUGGCCUAUAAGGCGGAACAGAGCCUGAGGUGGAGCAGGGACUCGACGUGGACGAGUCUACUGGUUGAUUUGGACACAGCAAAGUUUAUAUUGUACUAGCACUUUAUGAAUUAGCUAAAUGUGAUAUUACUGUACAUAAAAUGUUCUUCCUUUUCUAAGUAAUAAUAAUUAAUGCAAUUCAUGUUGCAGCACAUAA